rnacentral:rRNA from 1 species
UACGUAGGGUGCAAGCGUUGUCCGGAAUUAUUGGGCGUAAAGAGCUCGUAGGCGGUUUGUCGCGUCGGCUGUGAAAACCUAGGGCUCAACCUGGGCUUGCAGCCGAUACGGGCAAACUAGAAUUCGGUAGGGGAGACUGGAAUUCCUGGUGUAGCGGUGAAAUGCGCAGAUAUCAGGAGGAACACCGGUGGCGAAGGCGGGUCUCUGGGCCGACAUUGACGCUGAGGAGCGAAAGCCAGGGGAGCAAACGGGG